rnacentral:rRNA from 1 species
AUGAACGACACCGAUGUCUCCAAGCAGAUCCAGCAGAUGGUGCGGUUCAUCCGCCAGGAGGCCGAGGAGAAGGCUGGCGAGAUCUCCGUAUCCGCCGAGGAGGAAUUCAACAUUGAGAAGCUGCAACUUGUUGAAGCUGAGAAAAAGAAGAUCAGGCAAGAAUAUGAGCGGAAAGAGAAGCAGGUUGAUGUUCGGAAGAAAAUUGAGUACUCUAUGCAGCUGAAUGCUUCUCGCAUCAAAGUGCUUCAGGCCCAGGAUGACCUGGUUAAUAAAAUGAAAGAGGAUGCAAUGAAGGAACUCCUGAAUAUCAGCAGCAACCACCAUGAAUACAGGAAUCUGUUAAAAGAACUUGUUGUUCAGGGCCUGCUUCGGUUGAAAGAGCCAGCUGUACUGCUCCGCUGCCGCAAAGAAGAUCACCAUAAUGUGGAAUCUGUAAUGCAUUCAGCAAAGAAUGAGUAUGCAUCAAAAGCAGAUGUCCAUGAGCCAGAGAUACUAGUUGACCACACUGUCUACCUGCCACCUUCUCCGAGCCAUGGUGAUGAGCACGGCCAGAUUUGCCAUGGAGGUGUUGUGCUGGCUUCUCGGGAUGGAAAGAUUGUGUUUGAGAAUACAGUUGAUGCAAGGCUUGAAGUUGUUUUCCGCAAGAAAUUGCCAGAGAUCCGGAAGCUUCUUGUUGCGGCAUAA